rnacentral:rRNA from 1 species
AACGAACGCUGGCGGCAUGCCUAACACAUGCAAGUCGAACGAGACCUUCGGGUCUAGUGGCGCACGGGUGCGUAACGCGUGGGAACCUGCCCUUAGGUUCGGAAUAACUCCCCGAAAGGGGUGCUAAUACCGGAUAAUGUCUUCGGACCAAAGAUUUAUCGGCUUUGGAUGGGCCCGCGUUGGAUUAGCUAGUUGGUAGGGUAAAAGCCUACCAAGGCGACGAUCCAUAGCUGGUCUGAGAGGAUGAUCAGCCACACUGGGACUGGGACACGGCCCAGACUCCUACGGGAGGCAGCAGUGGGGAAUAUUGGACAAUGGGCGAAAGCCUGAUCCAGCAAUGCCGCGUGAGUGAUGAAGGCCUUAGGGUUGUAAAGCUCUUUUACCCGGGAUGAUAAUGACAGUACCGGGAGAAUAAGCUCCGGCUAACUCCGUG